rnacentral:rRNA from 1 species
CUAACCUCACCUUAAUCCUUCAUCAAUAUUGAGUAAUUCUAUAACAUUAUAGAAAAUUUUAUGUUGAAACUAGUAACAAGAAAAGACUUUCUCUUAAAUGUAGGUGUAAAUCAGAAAGGACAAGCCACUGAUACUUAACAUCACUGAGCCCAAAGUAGAAACUCAUCGAGAAAACCCUACUUUUAUUUAUGUUAAUUUAACACAAAAACAUUAUAAGAAAGAUUGAAAGAAAAAGAAGGAACUCGGCAAAUAUUAACCUCGCCUGUUUACCAAAAACAUCGCCUCUUGAAUUCUAUAAGAGGUCCAGCCUGCCCAGUGACUUAUUCAACGGCCGCGGUAUCCUAACCGUGCGAAGGUAGCGUAAUCACUUGUUCUUUAAAUGGGGACUCGUAUGAAUGGCAUCACGAAGGUUAUACUGUCUCCUUUUUCUAAUCAGUGAAACUGAUCUUCCCGUGAAGAAGCGGGAAUAUUAAUAUAAGACGAGAAGACCCUAUGGAGCUUAAAAUAACCUAACAUUUGCUUAAACCAUAAGAAAUUUCAGAACCUUAACUCCUACAAGUAAUAUGAUUAUAAGUUUUUGGUUGGGGUGACCGCGGAGAACAACAUAACCUCCAUGUUGAAAGAGCUUAUUCUUAGCUAAGAUUUACUAAUCAAAGCAUCAACACAUUGACAUUCCUUGAUCCAAUAUAAUUGAUCAACGAACCAAGUUACCCUAGGGAUAACAGCGCAAUCUACUUCAAGAGCUCCUAUCGACAAGUAGGUUUACGACCUCGAUGUUGGAUCAGGGUAUCCCAGUGGUGUAGCCGCUACUAAAGGUUCGUUUGUUCAACGAUUAAAACCCUACG